rnacentral:rRNA from 1 species
UCUGGCUCAGGACGAACGCUGGCGGCGUGCUUAACACAUGCAAGUCGAACGGUAAGGCCCUUCGGGGUACACGAGUGGCGAACGGGUGAGUAACACGUGGGUGAUCUGCCCUGCACUUCGGGAUAAGCCCGGGAAACUGGGUCUAAUACCGGAUAGGACUGCGCGGUGCAUGCCGUGUGGUGGAAAGAUUUAUCGGUGCAGGAUGGGCCCGCGGCCUAUCAGCUUGUUGGUGGGGUAAUGGCCUACCAAGGCGACGACGGGUAGCCGGCCUGAGAGGGCGACCGGCCACACUGGGACUGAGACACGGCCCAGACUCCUACGGGAGGCAGCAGUGGGGAAUAUUGCACAAUGGGCGCAAGCCUGAUGCAGCGACGCCGCGUGAGGGAUGACGGCCUUCGGGUUGUAAACCUCUUUCAGCAGGGACGAAGCGCAAGUGACGGUACCUGCAGAAGAAGCACCGGCCAACUACGUGCCAGCAGCCGCGGUAAUACGUAGGGUGCAAGCGUUGUCCGGAAUUACUGGGCGUAAAGAGCUCGUAGGCGGUUUGUCGCGUCGUCUGUGAAAACCAGCAGCUCAACUGUUGGCUUGCAGGCGAUACGGGCAGACUUGAGUAUUUCAGGGGAGACUGGAAUUCCUGGUGUAGCGGUGAAAUGCGCAGAUAUCAGGAGGAACACCGGUGGCGAAGGCGGGUCUCUGGGAAAUAACUGACGCUGAGGAGCGAAAGCGUGGGUAGCGAACAGGAUUAGAUACCCUGGUAGUCCACGCCGUAAACGGUGGGCGCUAGGUGUGGGUUUCCUUCCACGGGAUCCGUGCCGUAGCUAACGCAUUAAAGCGCCCCCGCC